CACGUAGGGUGCGAGCGUUGUCCGGAAUUAUUGGGCGUAAAGAGCUCGUAGGCGGUGUGUCGCGUCGGCCGUGAAAACCUGCAGCUUAACUGUGGGCUUGCGGUCGAUACGGGCAUCACUGGAGUUCGGCAGGGGAGACUGGAAUUCCUGGUGUAGCGGUGAAAUGCGCAGAUAUCAGGAGGAACACCGGUGGCGAAGGCGGGUAUCUGGGCCGUAACUGACGCUGAGGAGCGAAAGCGUGGGGAGCGAACAGG
rnacentral:rRNA from 1 species